rnacentral:rRNA from 1 species
GGACUACCGGGGUAUCUAAUCCUGUUUGCUCCCCACGCUUUCGUGCAUGAGCGUCAGUGUUAGCCCAGGGGGCUGCCUUCGCCAUCGGUGUUCCUCCACAUAUCUACGCAUUUCACUGCUACACGUGGAAUUCCACCCCCCUCUGCCACACUCUAGUCUCCCAGUUUCAAACGCAGUUCCCAGGUUAAGCCCGGGGCUUUCACAUCUGACUUAAGAAACCGCCUGCGCACGCUUUACGCCCAGUAAUUCCGAUUAACGCCUGCACCCUACGUAUUACCGCGGCUGCUGGCAC